rnacentral:rRNA from 1 species
UACGGAGGGGGCUAGCGUUGUUCGGAAUUACUGGGCGUAAAGCGCGUGUAGGCUGCUCCGAAAGUCAGGUGUGAAAGCCCCGGGCUCAACCUGGGAAGUGCACUUGAAACCUCGGAGCUUGAAUGCUGGAGAGGGAAGUGGAAUUCCAGGUGUAGCGGUGAAAUGCGUAGAUAUCUGGAGGAACAUCGGUGGCGAAGGCGGCAUCCUGGACCGGUAUUGACGCUGAGGCGCGAAAGCCAGGGGAGCAAACGGG